UUGUAAACGCGAGGAGUACUUCCCUCUAUUUUUUUUCCCCAAAAUUUUUGAACAACAUAUUCCCCAAUUUUCACUCUGUACUUCCCAUUUUCUCUAUUUUCCCCAAUUCUCCAUUUUCUCACAUUCUCAUAUUUUCCCCAAUUCUCCAUAAUUACUUCCGUUUUCCCCAAUUCCGUCAUAGAGGAAGAAAGCAAACAAGACAAUGUUUUCACCGUCAAUGUUUUCGCUCCUUUUUCACCGUCAAUGUUUUUGCUCUCCAUAGCCCAGCUUCCUCGAGUACUCGGAGCUGCUGUCUACGGUUGAUGGUUUUCACUCUGUACUUCCCAUUUUCUCUAUUUUCCCCAAUUCUCCAUUUUCUCACAUUAUCAUAUUUUCCCCAAUUCUCCAUAAUUACUUCCGUUUUCCCCAAUUCCGUCAUAGAGGAAGAAAGCAAACAAGACAAUGUUUUCACCGUCAAUGUUUUCGCUCCUUUUUCACCGUCAAUAUUUUUGCUCUCCAUAGCCCAGCUUCCUCGAGUACUCGGAGCUGCUGUCUACGGUUGAUGGAGUUAUUAUUGCUGCUGCCGAAGAUUUAAACUGAAGAAAAGAGGAGAGAGAAAUUUGCAAAUCCAGUAACAAUGGAUCCCAAAUUCACUGAGAUUUCCCAGAGCUUCGAACGUUUCAAAGCUACUUCUAUUCGCAAUGAUUUUGACACCUCCACUCGUCUCCUUUCUCAGCUUAAGGUUUAUUUCCUCUCCAAUUUAAACCUUAGAUCCUUAAUUUUCUUCAUUGUUUGUGAAUUCAUAUAAUUACUAUGUUUACUUUAAUUGACGAGAUUUUGUGGAAAUUUUGCUCAAAUUGCUACUUGUUUGCUCCAUUUUUUCGUGUUUUUAGGGUUUUAUUAUGUUUUUAUGCGACAUUAAUGGUAGCUUUGGGGUUAAUUUUGCUGUAAGUAUGGUUUGUAGAUUGAAAUUAGUUGGAGUAAAUCCGAGUGUUUUGGGUGGUUAUGGGAACCAGGGUGGAUUGCAAAGCGCGUAUCCAAAUCAGUAGCUGGGGUAAGGAGGGGCUGGUGGGAGGUCGCAGCAUGGCCAUAUGGGUGGUGUUGCACCGUAUGGAGGCCAUUGAGUUACUCUUAAAUAGUCACAGGUUGUAGGCCUGCUGGCUUCUGUUGUUCUGUGUUGCUAUCUGUGAGCUGCUGGCUGCUGUUUAUGCUAUUGGCAGUCCUGCGAGCUGCUUGCUGGUCUCUGUUUGGUUGCCUGUGGGGCUGUUGGGUGCAGGCUGCUGUCAUGUAGGUUCUCUGCUGGUUCAGGCGUUUGGGCUGCUUGGUUGUUGUUGUAGUUUUUUCUACCUGUCUCUGCUGUUCUGAGUUGUUGCAGGGUUGAAGAAGGCAUCCUGGUUUAAACUUGCUUUUCCCUGUUUGCUUCUGGUUUGUUGCCUAGUUUUCGUUGCUGUCUUGUUCUGGUUUUGGCUGGUUACUGCUGCUACUGUUCCUUUUACUGUUGUUGUUCUUUUUCUGCUGUUAUGCACUGUCAUCUGUUGUGCUGCUUUCUACCUGGUGCUUUGCAUGCCUGGUUCUGGCUGCUGCUGCAGUUCUGCUGAGCUUGUUGCUGUUGGGACAGCUUGUUGUUGUUCUACUGCUGCUGUUCAGCUGCUGAUGUUGGUCGCUUGCCUCUCAAAGGUUGUAGUCGUUGUAGUUUUCUCAAUUAAUUUAAUUAGUGAAAUUUGAUUUUGUAACUUUUCCCUUUAAGAGCAAUAAUGUACAAACCUUCAAUUUAUAUUAAUGAAAUUCCAAUUUAAUCGUC